rnacentral:rRNA from 1 species
CCAUGGCUCAGAACGAACGCUGGCGGCAGGCCUAACACAUGCAAGUCGAGCGGGCCCUUUCGGGGUCAGCGGCGGACGGGUGAGUAACGCGUGGGAACGUGCCCUUCGGUGCGGAAUAGCUUCGGGAAACUGGGGGUAAUACCGCAUACGGUCUACGGACGAAAGAUUUAUUGCCGAGGGGUCGGCCCGCGUUGGAUUAGGUAGUUGGUGGGGUAAUGGCCUACCAAGCCGACGAUCCAUAGCUGGUUUGAGAGGAUGAUCAGCCACACUGGGACUGAGACACGGCCCAGACUCCUACGGGAGGCAGCAGUGGGGAAUCUUAGACAAUGGGGGAAACCCUGAUCUAGCCAUGCCGCGUGAGCAGAUGAAGGCCUUAGGGUUGUAAAGCUUCUUUCAGCUGGAAGAAAUGCGGACCACAGAGA